rnacentral:lncRNA from 1 species
AAAUAUAUCUCAUUUAAAAAUUAAUGAAAAGAUUUGUCAUUUACAGUUGAUCAGGAGAGGUAAGAACAUACAUAUUGAUAUUUCUUCACCAUCAUACAUACGGAAGAGGAAAUGAGUUUGGGGUGAUUUAUAUAAUGAGCACAAUGCUGCGUCUGCAUGCAUAACAUUUUAUAAAAUUGGACGUUAAAAAAAAAGCUGCACACCACAUAAGGAAUAAGUUCCUAUAAAGCUUGGCAUUAAGGAGAAGCUGAGAGGGGUUAACUGGUUGUUCCAAUUCAGAUUUUGUUGGUGCAUUUGUUGAUAUCAAAUUCCACUCUGUAGGCAAAAUCUUAAAAUCAGAGCCCUCGUAGAAAACAGCCACCAUGGUGAAGAUAGAUAUUUAAGGGUUGGCAAUACCAAACAGACAGAACACUUCUUCCUUUUUCCUAUUUGUAAAUUAAAAAAAAAAUUAAACCCCGAACAGGCCAGAUGUGCUGGCUAAGUCAAAUAAAGGGUUUUGCAGGUUAAGCAAGUAGUUGAUUCAAUCUGAUAAUUUCUUAACACCAAACAAAUGUAUACCUGACCAGCACGACAAUAUACAUCACUUGGCCAGACACUGAUCACUCUAAUGACAGCAGAAACAACAGGAAAGGUUGGAACCAUUUGGACAGUCGUGACCAUGAUGAUUCAGGGGCUUGAAGAAGUAACAUCACUGAAGAAGAAUACACACACACACACACACACACACACACACAUACAUAAUACAGAGCUGCUGCUGGUGGUUCUGAGAUCACACUGUGAGAACCACUGGCCUCAAUUUUCGGCUUACUUUGCCGAACAAACAUAUAUACAUAUUUCACACAACCCUUUACUUAUGCAAAUUUAUUUUUGCUACACUUAUUAUAAGCUCCUCAAAUAUUUGUCUUUAACCAUUUACUACUGUAUUCCUAUAUAAAUCUGUUUCAGAAUACUCUAAAACUUUAUUUCAUGUCAUUGGAAUGGAAUUCUUAUUUUUAAAAAAGAUUUUAUUUAUUUAUUCAUGGGAGACACAGAGAGAGGCAGAGACAUAGGAAGAGGGAGGAGAAGCAGGCUCCAUGCAGAGACCCUGAUGUGGGACUUGAUUCCAGGAUUCUGGGAUUAUGCCCUGAGCCAAAGGCAGAUGCUUAACCGCUGAGCCACCCAGGCAUCCCUAAAUUAGAAUUCUUGAUGCUUUUUGACGAAGGCAGCUAUUUGUACCUCUUUCCCACUCUCUUGUCCUUUUAAAUCCCUAAUAUCUUAGUGACUUUUAGCUGAAACACAAGCAAAGGCUUUGGAGGGACUGGGUGCACUGGCAGAGAUCUGGUCUCUCUCACACCAAGCUGAAGUGAUAGCACAAAACAUAAAUAAGAGGAAGGGAAGCAGAGACUUGUGUUCAGUAAAGUUGUACCUCCAGAAAGUUUAAUAAUUAUCACCAACACUGGGCAACCAACAUCGAUCAGACAUUGAUUGGACAAUUUCACCUUUCACGAAGAGGAUACAUUCUAACUCUAACUCCUUGUGUUCUUUUGCUAACAUGAUUAGUAUUCCAUUUGUGUCAAAAUGUUACUUUACAAUAGGAAUGAUCUCAGCCUUCUCCGUGGCUCUCAGGAGCCAUUGCUGAGAGUCUCUUGGUAGAUGUGGUCCCUUGGUCCCCUGUCCAAGAGAACAGCACUGGGUAUCAGGACUAUGUAGCCAAUCAGUGGCAAUGUAAUAAAAUAAUUCCAGGUUCUAUAUUUUGAAAUUAGCUGACAGAGAAUUUGGCCUUUCCGUGGUGAAAGAUACACUUUGGCAAUGAAUUGGUGCCUAAAAUUCUACAAGUAGAACUUCAAUUCCUUCGGCUUUAGGCUUUUCCCCUGUUAUAAUGCAAGCGACCCUCACAAUGUCAAAGUAAAGGACUUCAUCCCUUUCCUGAGAGCACAUUUUUCUUAUUGAGGAGAACAAAACUAGGAGGCACUCAGAAGAGUUGUGCUGGGAAUCAAGGUCUGGGGCACAUGGAGUAGAAAGAGGAGAAAGGGGAUCUCAGUGGCAGGCCUCCAACUCAUUCACAAUUUUGGUGAAGGACUGACCCCCUGUCUGCAUCCCUAUUGAAAUGGGUGCUAGCUUGCCACCCGGAGCAGGUUGCUUGAAAAUUAACCAUGUUUUCUGAUAAUUUUGAAGACCCUUUAAUGUAUAGGCAUACAAAGGUUGAUAGCAAUGGAAGAAAAUAGAUGGUAAUAAAACAUUUGGAGCAACAGCAGAUAGGGAGCCAUCAGAGGAACCACACUUCUGCACAGGAAGAAGAUAAACUUGUAUUUGUAGAGUGCAGAGUUCAGGGCUGGGACAAGGGUAAGGCACCUGCUCAGCCCUGAGAGUGGGCACUUCAUUCACCUCACUCUGGUCUUGGCUCUGGCAGAUCAGAUUAAAGUGAAAGCUUACUAUUGUGUUAUAGACUUGGUGAGGAUGGAAGGCUGCACUGGUGAGGAACAGAGCCCUGGCCAUGAAAUCAUCUUUUUAGGGAUGAGUUUGUGAGCAAGAGGGCAGGUGCAUGGACACAUCUGCUCACACAGAUUAGGUACAGCGGGAUCACAAUCUGAUCUGUGUUGUCUAGAGAGUUGAAAUGGAUGUCCAGUGAAAUGCUCACUGUAAGCCUUGCAGAAUCUCCUCCAUCUCUGCACGUUCCAGGUAAUGCCUUUGGACCAACUGGUUGAUUUGUGGUCACUAGGCUAACUUGAACUAUUUAGCUGCCUGUGGUCCUGCCUCCUUAAAGGAUAAGCUGUAGGCUAGGCAUGCAGUUCAUGGGGGUUGGGGCUGCGAGACAAGUUGCGGCCAGGUGGGAGGCCCAGGCGAGAGAUGACGAAGGGGGAGGAGAAGAGGGACCAGCAAGACUUAUUGUACCAAGAAUGGCUUGCUCUCUACCCUCAACAUCUGAACCACAAAUAAGUAAUGAACACCCACUUAGAGCAAAGCACUCUUAGCUACCCAUUAACAAUCCUGGGGAUGACUCUCUCUACUUGUGACCAGAGUGAAAGUCAGUCUAGCAGAGCCACCUGCCACUAUUGGUUGGAAAACAGAGCAAACAGAGCAAAUAGAGGUAUAGAAACAACUUGAAUUGGAAGCUGACCUCCUAGGGCCAACUUCAUUUCACUUGAGCCUUCUGGGCUUUCACCUUC